GCCUGCAUUGGGGAGUGGGGUCCCAUGCCCUGUGGUCCAGGCACUCUAGAUCCAAGGAGGGCGUGUUUUCGGUACAUCCUCCGGUUUCUUCAAUUCAGCGCUGUCUGGACUUGAGUCCCAAGGCUGCUCAGGUUCCUGGGGUGUGACAGUGGUCCAAGGCCCCCAGGCCUGAGAGGAAUACUCUUCACAUUUGGUUUCUUCAAAAGUUAAUUUUUUCUUGUGCGGUGGAUACAGUUCAUUUCCAGUGUCCAUUUGUUUUGGGUAUACAGCCGCAUGAUUCACUUCCACAUGUAUGUAUUCCUCUUGGAAUUGUCUUGCGCUGAAGGUAGUUAAAGGCUGCUGAGCAGAAUGGCCUGUGCUGUAUCCUUGGUCUUUGUGGAUUAUUUAUCGUACAUAUGUAUGACUGUCCCUCUGUGAAUCCCAAGUUCCUAAUUUACAAAACUCAGUUGAGAAAUGUAUUCAUUGAUGUCAACAUUUAGGUACCAAAUACAGUUUUUUUAGGCUGUUGGUCCUCUCUGCCUGCCUGCCUUAGGAUAUUCAUCAGUAUAUCCGUUGUUGCUGGAAAAGAGUUUUCAUGCUUUUUGAUUUCUAUGUGUUAUUCCAUGGAAUAUUUGUUUAUGCAUGAGUGUGUAUAUGCAUUUAUAUGUGUGAUUGUUUACCGUGUUUAUCCACUCAUCUGAAAAUGGACACUUUGAGGUGCACGCAGUUUUCUUGUUGUUACAGAAGUGUCCACAAGGCAGCGGCAUCCCCUCAGGCCCUGCUCUUGUUUUUGGCGACUGGAUCCCUACAGAAGUCUGCACCUGUUAAGGGCUUGUCUCAUCAUCUUCCCCCUUACCCUGCACCCCAGACACAGAUUCGAAGGCUACCUGAAGUGCGAUGCUGGGGAUGCCCUGUUAGGUGGGAAGAUGCUCAGAAGACUAUCCGUGGGAACGCCACAUAUUCUGUUAUUAUUCUAAGAAAGUCUGAUGCAAAAAUCUUCUAUGCUAUUGUAUGGAAGAUUAAAUUUUACUGUUGUGUGGUGAGACUCCUCAGUGCCUGACUGUCAUUGGAAUUGGAUGCUCCAACACAGAGUCUGCAGUGUGUUCACAAGUCCAGAUUAACAGAAUCUGCCUACCAUCAGCCCCAGGUAUACAGUAGAGAUAGAUGUAUGACCUGGACAGGAAGCUCCCAACAGCUGCGGGACCAGGUAGGAAGCAGAAUCUGACACGGCAGGACCGGGCCCGCUGGAGCAGAUGCAGCCGUCUGCCUGGCCUGGGAACGGGAGCCCAGCACCUGAUCUGUAUUACAGCAAAGCUAGAUAAGUGAUUUGGAAUUCUUUUUAUUUUUAGAUGGCAACCAUACAUUUUUUUUCCAAAAAUGUAUUGGGUGGGGGGAGGGAGUUGGUGACAGUUGUAGCCUAUAGUUGACCUGUCUGCAAGCUUCUGGAAGCCUCCUUUGGCAUCAUGAGUUGCUUUAGGUUUCUGAGUCUUCCAUCAAAUUUAAAACAACUCUCACUGGUCAAAAAUCAGAGAAGCAAGGCUCAAAAUCAUCAUUCUAUGUACUCGUAGUAUAUAACAAACAUAAGUGAAAAACAUCAAUGAGAUAAAAAAAUUCUCAGUUUGGAAUAUAAAAUGUGGUGUAAGUGGCCCAGGCAACUGUGUGACCAAGAAAUACAUGUUGUUGACUAUACUGUUUUAGUCUGUGAUGUUUUUAUGUAAAGGAACUUCAUAAUAAGCUUGAUUUCCUAGCGCACUGUAAACCACAGAAAUAGGCUGAAAGAAGUCUUUCCUAGUCGCAGUGUUCAGGGCUAUCUGUCGCAUACUGCACGGCCUUGAAAACCUGGAUUCCCUCACA